rnacentral:ncRNA from 1 species
ACAAUGAUACUCCCGCCCAGUCACAGUCGGCAUUUCACCACAGGCAAUGAGGGCGGUUUCGAGAGAUCCUCGAGGGGGUGCGACCCCCGUG